rnacentral:lncRNA from 1 species
AUCCAUACAUCCUGUAACUACUCCAUCCAUUUUCUAAUAAACUUUCGCCGAAAUUAGGACUGAUAUCACUGACAUUACUUCGUUAAAUAUUUUCAGCAGAUUUCGGAGACGCAGUGAAGUGCCGGCAAUGGUCAGCGAUAGAAAAGGGAGAUGAGGCGGCGCAGAUCUGAUUGGUUGGCCAGAUAUGGCGAGGAAUAGAGGGGUCAGCAGCGGAAUGGAUUUUUUCUGAAAAAGUUUGCCUUCGUUUUGAAAUUUACUCGUCGGAAAAUUCAGAAAAUAUCAAUUUCUUUUCAUCUCGUUCAACUAUCGAUUUUGUUCUCUAGAAUGUGUAUGUGUGUGUGAAAUGUGAAGCUAUACAUAUAUUUUCUUAAAAUUGAAUAUAUUUAGUGUGUGCAUGUAAAUUGAUGGAGA